CUGAAAUGAAUCAAGACGUAGAGGAGGCUGCAGGUCACAGUAAGACACUCAGACCAGAGUCUGCACUACACAGCUGUGUGACCAUGAAGAAUGACCAGGACAUGGAUGAUCCUGUAAACAUGAGCAGCACAUCAACACAGACCAAUGCAGGACGACACACACACAGACCUCCAUCUCCAGCGCCCAGCUGUGUGUCUAUGAAGAGUGACCGGUCCAGGCAUCAGCCUCUUAACUUCAGCAGUCAACCAGUUCCAUCAAGUCUAAAGUGAGUAGAUUUCAUAUAAGUUAUUCAGAAAUGUCAGUGUUGACACAUGCAAUUCUACAGACAAACACACA